rnacentral:tRNA from 1 species
GGGUCUGUAGCCAUGAGGUUACGCUUCCGCUUCAUAAGCGGAAGGUCAUGGGUUCGAUUCCCAGCCCCU